CCUUUCAGAGGGGGACAACAGUUGGGAAAACCGACCUGCUAAUACCCGCAUAACGAUUCUAAUUCUCGGCAUCGAGGAUAGAUGAAAAGGUGGCCUCUACAUGUAAGCUAUCACUGAAGGAAGGGGAUUGCGUCUGAUUAGCUAGUUGGAGGGGUAACGGCCCCACCAAGGCGAUGAUCAGUAGCCGGUCUGAGAGGAUGAACGGCCACAUUGGGACUGAGACACGGCCCCAGACUCCUACGGGAGGCAGCAGUGGGGAAUCUUCCGCAAUGGACGAAAGUCUGACGGAGCAACGCCGCGUGAGUGAUGACGGGCUUCGGGUUGUAAAGCUCUGUUAAUCGGGACGAAAGGCCUUCUUGCAAA
rnacentral:rRNA from 1 species